AAAGUAUUCACUUUUUCAAUGAGAUAACCAUCUCAUACAACGGAGGGUCCUGCAAUUCCCUACUUAAUUUGAGCUCUUGAAAUAUUAUGUCUCGGUAUAAAUGCGGUUUUAAAAAUUUGUGGUUCCAAUUUUUCACUUUCUAAAUUGCAUUUUUUUGGAAAAAUUACGUAUUCACCGAGGACUUGGUUUACAUCCACACAAAUUACACUCUAAAGAUAUGUUAUGAAUCUGUGUAAGACUCAAUCAAAAGUAUUGUGGGUUCACUUCGAAAAAACUCUAGUUCUAUUUUGAGGAUACUUUUGAUUCACUCUAAAGAAUUUUCGUGCUUAUUCUGAUUAUUUAAUAGUUUCAUUCUAAAUUCACUCUGGAUUCAUUCUGAAUUCACUCUGGAUUCAUUCUGAAUUCACUCUGGAUUCAUUCUGAAUUCACUCUGGAUUCAUUCUGAAUUCACUCUGAUCUACUCUG
rnacentral:lncRNA from 1 species